AGUGAACGCUGGCGGUAGGCCUAACACAUGCAAGUCGAACGGCAGCACAGUAAGAGUUCGCCCUUACGGGUGGCGAGUGGCGGACGGGUGAGGCAUACAUCGGAAUCUACUUUUUCGUGGGUGAUAACGUAGGGAAACUUACGCUACUACCGCAUACGACCUACGGCUUAAAGCAGGGGUUCUUCACACCUUUCGCGAUUGAAUGAGCCGAUGUCGGAUUAGCUAGUUGGCUGGGUAAAGGCCCACCAAGGCGACGAUACGUAGCUGGUCUGAGAGGAUGAUCAGCCACACUGGAACUGAGACACGGUCCAGACUCCUACGGGAGGCAGCAGUGGGGAAUAUUGGACAAUGGGCGAAAGCCUGACCCAGCAACACCGCGUGGGUGAAGAAGGCCUUCGGGUUGUAAAGCCCUUUUGUUGGGAAAGAAAAGCAGUAGGUUAAUACACGGCUGUUCUGACGGUACCCAAAGAAAAAGCAACGGCUAACUUCGUG
rnacentral:rRNA from 1 species